GACGAGCGCUGGCGGCGUGCUUAACACAUGCAAGUCGAACGGAAAGGCCCUGCUUUUGUGGGGUGCUCGAGUGGCGAACGGGUGAGUAACACGUGAGUAACCUGCCCUUGACUUUGGGAUAACUUCAGGAAACUGGGGCUAAUACCGGAUAGGAGCUCCUGCUGCAUGGUGGGGGUUGGAAAGUUUCGGCGGUUGGGGAUGGACUCGCGGCUUAUCAGCUUGUUGGUGGGGUAGUGGCUUACCAAGGCUUUGACGGGUAGCCGGCCUGAGAGGGUGACCGGCCACAUUGGGACUGAGAUACGGCCCAGACUCCUACGGGAGGCAGCAGUGGGGAAUAUUGCACAAUGGGCGGAAGCCUGAUGCAGCAACGCCGCGUGCGGGAUGACGGCCUUCGGAUUGUAAACCGCUUUCGCCUGUGACGAAGCGUGAGUGACGGUAAUGGGUAAAGAAGCACCGGCUAACUACGUG
rnacentral:rRNA from 1 species